UACGGGGGGGGCAAGCGUUGUUCGGAAUUACUGGGCGUAAAGGGCUCGUAGGCGGCCAACUAAGUCAGACGUGAAAUCCCUCGGCUUAACCGGGGAACUGCGUCUGAUACUGGAUGGCUUGAGUUUGGGAGAGGGAUGCGGAAUUCCAGGUGUAGCGGUGAAAUGCGUAGAUAUCGGGAGGAACACCAGUGGCGAAGGCGGCUUUCUGGCCUGUUCUUGACGCUGAGGCGCGAAAGCUAGGGUAGCAAACGGG
rnacentral:rRNA from 1 species